GGGAAGGUGGCUCAGUGGUAGAGUGCUUGCCUUGCAUGCAUGAGGCCCUAGGUUUGAUUCCUCAUUACCA
rnacentral:tRNA from 1 species